GGCCCAAUUGAUUGAUGGUGCUUGCACCUGAUUGAUUUUGGUCGCCAACGAGUGGCGGACGGGUGAGUAACACGUAGGUAACCUGCCCAGAAGCGGGGGACAACAUUUGGAAACAGAUGCUAAUACCGCAUAACAGCGUUGUUCGCAUGAACAACGCUUAAAAGAUGGCUUCUCGCUAUCACUUCUGGAUGGACCUGCGGUGCAUUAGCUUGUUGGUGGGGUAACGGCCUACCAAGGCGAUGAUGCAUAGCCGAGUUGAGAGACUGAUCGGCCACAAUGGGACUGAGACACGGCCCAUACUCCUACGGGAGGCAGCAGUAGGGAAUCUUCCACAAUGGGCGCAAGCCUGAUGGAGCAACACCGCGUGAGUGAAGAAGGGUUUCGGCUCGUAAAGCUCUGUUGUUAAAGAAGAACACGUAUGAGAGUAACUGUUCAUACGUUGACGGUAUUUAACCAGAAAGUCACGGCUAACUACGUGCCAGCAGCCGCGGUAAUACGUAGGUGGCAAGCGUUAUCCGGAUUUAUUGGGCGUAAAGAGAGUGCAGGCGGUUUUCUAAGUCUGAUGUGAAAGCCUUCGGCUUAACCGGAGAAGUGCAUCGGAAACUGGAUAACUUGAGUGCAGAAGAGGGUAGUGGAACUCCAUGUGUAGCGGUGGAAUGCGUAGAUAUAUGGAAGAACACCAGUGGCGAAGGCGGCUACCUGGUCUGCAACUGACGCUGAGACUCGAAAGCAUGGGUAGCGAACAGGAUUAGAUACCCUGGUAGUCCAUGCCGUAAACGAUGAGUGCUAGGUGUUGGAGGGUUUCCGCCCUUCAGUGCCGGAGCUAACGCAUUAAGCACUCCGCCUGGGGAGUACGACCGCAAGGUUGAAACUCAAAGGAAUUGACGGGGGCCCGCACAAGCGGUGGAGCAUGUGGUUUAAUUCGAAGCUACGCGAAGAACCUUACCAGGUCUUGACAUCUUGCGCCAACCCUAGAGAUAGGGCGUUUCCUUCGGGAACGCAAUGACAGGUGGUGCAUGGUCGUCGUCAGCUCGUGUCGUGAGAUGUUGGGUUAAGUCCCGCAACGAGCGCAACCCUUGUUACUAGUUGCCAGCAUUAAGUUGGGCACUCUAGUGAGACUGCCGGUGACAAACCGGAGGAAGGUGGGGACGACGUCAGAUCAUCAUGCCCCUUAUGACCUGGGCUACACACGUGCUACAAUGGACGGUACAACGAGUCGCGAACUCGCGAGGGCAAGCAAAUCUCUUAAAACCGUUCUCAGUUCGGACUGCAGGCUGCAACUCGCCUGCACGAAGUCGGAAUCGCUAGUAAUCGCGGAUCAGCAUGCCGCGGUGAAUACGUUCCCGGGCCUUGUACACACCGCCCGUCACACCAUGAGAGUUUGUAACACCCAAAGUCGGUGGGGUAACCUUUUAGGAGCCAGCCGCCUAAGGUGGG
rnacentral:rRNA from 2 species